rnacentral:pre_miRNA from 1 species
AGGGGGAGCGCAGGAUCCUGGGCUGUGUCCCCUGCGCCCUGGGCUCUGGGACCUGAGCCACUGGAAUCACGCUCCGGCCGCGCAGCCCUCU